rnacentral:lncRNA from 1 species
CCCGUCUAUUUUUUCAGUAAAUAUUAAAUAUAUUUAAAUUUCGAAAUUUUAAUUAUUUUUAAAUUUCAUACAGAUCUUAUUGGUGUAAUAGUUUCCAGCUAUAAGCCGAUAGAAAAGGAUUUGAAUGGGAAGCCUACAAAGCUUAUGGAUAUUGUGAUUGAAGAUCUUGAGUAAAAUCGAAAUAUAACUUAAUACUUAUUUUUUCAUUUUCAAACAAUAUCUAACUUAAUAUUUUCUUUUUCAGGGGAAAGACGUUGUCAUGUACUUUAUGGGAAUAAUAUGCAGAUACAAUGUUUGAGUUCUUGUGCAGUCGGCCAAAAAUGCCUGUAUGCAUAAUCCUACAAUAUUGUAGACCAACUAUGUUUAGAGGUAAAAUAUAUGAUAAUUUUUAUAGCAUGUAAAAUUUUAUUGUGUACUAAAUACUUCUUUUCACAGGGGAAGUUCGAAUCACAAGUUCGUACCAUAUUACGAACAUCAUUUUUGAUGAAAAUGUGGCUGAAAUAAAAGAAAUGAAAGAAAAGUAAGAUGUAGAUCAAAAAUUUUGCAUAAUGUCUAUGAAAUAUCAAACAUU